UCUAAAUAUUAUGUUAACUGUAAACAACACGUGCGGCUAGCAAACAAACAACACCUGCACUUGUUUACGACACACGUGCAAGGUACGGUAGUGGGGACAACCCUUAUAAGACGGCGAGCCGCACGAGUUGUACCAUUCUUGUGUCGAACUCCGUACAGAGAACAUCCAAUAAAAGUAAUCCGUGACAGUGAGCCAUUGUUUAACUGGCGCUAUGCGUCCUCCACAAAGGUCACUGUUACCUUGGGAUCAGAGUAUAAUAUUCGUACUCUAACAUCAGAAGUAGAGGAUCGUCCUGCUGCCCACCCAUUAUAUUGAAAAAGACGGCCUCAAAGGAUGAAACUAAGUUUCAAAUACUCGUAUUAUCCUGAUAAGAUAAUAAUCGUGGAUGGAGUCAGGUGUUUAAUUAAUUAAAACUAAGGCUAAACUUGGAAUUGGACCUGAAUAUAAAAAUUGGACCUGGACUUGAGCCGUGGCAUAUUCAUCACAAUGUCUAUGUACUGUCAGGAUCGAGGAUAAUGGUGCCUACCUGCAUUUGAAUACUGUUGUUACGGUGAGUCGUUUUCAUACUGGAACUUUAUUGUUAUUGACUUCAUUGCUGGGUGUAUUUUAAUUUUUAAUAAUGAGGAAAUUGAUUUCAAAUUAACUUGAAAGUACUAUUUCUCUUUAUUUUAAAACAAAAUUGACGAGACAUAUUCCCGCAAUACGUGUCAAUCAUAAUUCAAACCGCGUUUUCAAAUCGGUUUUCAUCAUCGUCAAAUCUUGGCAUUUUGGUCUAAAAAUGUUUUGAAUUGGUGCAGACACGCUAACGCUGCGUGGUUUAAGCUGUAUUUUCUCACUCCAAGCAAUAAAGAAAUGAACUUUCGUUAAAUUACAACGUGAUUUGUAAUCUACCGUCAUUAAUAAAAUAAUCUUUAUAAACCGAUUGAAAGAGUCAUGUGAAUGUGAUAAUACACCUAGUUAUUUUGUUUCAUGUGACCACUGCUACAUGACGACGAGUGAAUGACAAACGGCGAAGGCGUUACAGCAUGGCACAGUCUGAGAGUGGCAGCCGUGCCGCGUGUGUGCCGUGUGGUGGUGACUUCGUGGCAGCGUAUUAAUAAACGCAAGCUCAGAGCACGAGCUGCGUAUCAGUAUGGCCGUGAUAGCGCGACAGCGAAAUAUUGAAAAUCUAAAUAUUAUGUUAACUGUAAACAACACGUGCGGCUAGCAAACAAACAACACCUGCACUUGUUUACGACACACGUGCAAGGUACGGUAGUGGGGACAACCCUUAUAAGACGGCGAGCCGCACGAGUUGUACCAUUCUUGUGUCGAACUCCGUACAGAGAACAUCCAAUAAAAGUAAUCCGUGACAGUGA
rnacentral:lncRNA from 1 species